rnacentral:rRNA from 1 species
CAUGCAGGCGGUUAUACAAGUAGGAUGUGAAAGCCUGGGGCUCAACCUCAGAACUGCAUUCUAAACUGUGUGACUAGAGUAUUGCAGGGGGAGACGGAAUUUCAGGUGUAGCGGCGGAAUGCGUAGAUAUCUGAAAGAACACCAAAGGCGAAGGCAGUCUCCUGGGCAAAUACUGACGCUCAUAUGCGAAAGCGUGGGUAGCAAACA